AAAGUUGGUUGGUGGCUUUCAAAGCAAAAUAAUUUUAAUAUGAAAUUUAUUCAAAAUGUGGAUGGAUAGACUUUGUUCCAUGAUUUUUGUAAGGGUGGCCCAAAAAGGAUGGAUGAUUCCUUAAUGUGAAAGCUAGUUGUUGACCGUAGUCCCUAAAUGCUAUUAUCUAUUUUGCUUUGAUGGUCCCUUAGUCCCUAAAUGCAGUUUUGGAACUACAAUAUGAAGUGAUUUUGCAAAUGCCACUGGUAUAACAUUUGCGUUGAUAAUUUUAAAUGUAAGUCUUCGAUUUAGUAACUGAAAAAAGGUAGAACCUUACCCAUUUUUAUUAUUCUUGAUCAUUUAAUAAGAUUAAAUCUUCUGCUUGAUAAAUACAAAACCUUUUAUUGCUGAACAUAGCAGUGUUCAAGUUCAACGGUGAUUUGGAAACCGAAAUCUGUAAUAGCAGCCUGUCAUCAUUUUAGAUUCAUUAUGAGACCACUGUCCCAUAGAUGUGGAGAGACUCUAGAGAGAUGAUUGAAGCUUUGGUUACAGGAUAGAAACUAGGGAACAAUAACAGGUGCUCUGAACUUUCUAUUGAAUCCCAGCUUUCAAGGUUGAUUUGUUAACUGGGCGGGCAUUUUAUGUCCGAAGUAAAUGUGGGAACAAGUUUUCUUAAUAUGGUAAUUCUAUGAUUUGAGCUGCCUAUCCCCCUAUAUGUAUGGUGUAGAAUCAGUUGAAAUUAUAUGUGCUGGAAAUAUUGAUAAAACAGUUGAAAUUUGGUCAAGGUGCCUGUCAGAUGAGUAUGAGGGGAAAUCUUAUGUUGACCUUCUUCAGGAUUUGAUGGAAAAACUAUUGUUCUUGCCUUGGCAACUGGGCAGAAGCGCUUUAGUGCCUCUCUGUGCAAGCUCUUUGAGAAAUAUGCUGAAACUUAGCAAGUCAAGGGUUGCUGACCACAACAAUGGAGUAUCUAAAACUUUUGGGUUCUGAACAACUUUCGGCAGAACUUGUGAUAUUGAAGUACCGAAUUGCACUGUCUACGGAACCUGCUCCGACGGUUUCAACCGUUUAUCUUGGGCGAGAAAUGGUUCUUCUUCUGAAGGUUUUUCUCUUGGUCUCGUUGCUGGUGAAUUAUUCGUGGAAACAUUGAUAUCUGGAAUCCUCUCACUCUGAUACGCUCGGACGAAAAUGAAAGUUCUCUCGUUGGACACCUUAUAAGGGACAGGUUCGUGUACUUGAGUUUAAUACAAUUGCACCCAAUCUUCUUGCAUUUGGGGCUGAGGAUGGUGAAAUUUGCAUAUGGGAUUUGGCCAAUCCUUCAGAGCCUACACAUUUUCCACCGUUAAAGGGUAGUGGCUCUGCUUCCCAGGGGGAAGUUUCACUCUUAUCUUGGAAUAGUAAAGUGCAACACAUAUUAGCAUUCACUUCAUAUAAUGGGACCACUGUGGUUUGGGACCUAAAGAAACAAAAGCCAGUGAUAAGCUUUGCAGACUCAGUUAGACGGCGGUACUCAGCUUUGCAGUGGAAUCCUGAUGUUGCUACCCAACUUGUUGUUGCAUCAGAUGAAGACGGAUCUCCUUCUAUAUGGCUAUAGUCUCUGCAGAUUGUCUGUUUAUUUUAAUGUGUAUUGACUUUAUAUAAGCAUGUUGACGCAGCUUUGGGAUAUGAGAAAUAUAAUGACACUGAUUAAGGAAAAUGUGGGGCACACUAGAGGUAAAGUCAGCCAGUCGUUUAUUUAUGAUUUAUUGUAUUCUCUUCCUUAGUGCUGUAUUU